UACAUGGGGUGCAAACGUUGCUCGGAAUCAUUGGGCGUAAAGGGUGCGUAGGUGGCGCCGUAAGUCGGGUGUGAAAUUUCGGAGCUUAACUCCGAAACUGCAUUCGAUACUGCGGUGCUUGAGGACUGGAGAGGAGACUGGAAUCCAUGGUGUAGCAGUGAAAUGCGUAGAGAUCAUGAGGAAGACCAGUGGCGAAGGCGGGUCUCUGGACAGUUCCUGACACUGAGGCACGAAGGCCAGGGAGCAAACGGG
rnacentral:rRNA from 1 species